AUUGAAGUCGGCCCAAUAGACGGGGAUUGAAAAUCCGCGUGUCACUGGUUCGAUUCCGGUCCUGGGCACCA
rnacentral:tRNA from 1 species